UAGGGAAUCUUCCACAAUGGACGCAAGUCUGAUGGAGCAACGCCGCGUGAGUGAAGAAGGUUUUCGGACCGUAAAGCUCUGUUGUUGGUGAAGAAGGAUAGAGGUAGUAACUGGCCUUUAUUUGACGGUAAUCAACCAGAAAGUCACGGCUAACUACGUGCCAGCAGCCGCGGUAAUACGUAGGUGGCAAGCGUUGUCCGGAUUUAUUGGGCGUAAAGCGAGCGCAGGCGGAAGAAUAAGUCUGAUGUGAAAGCCCUCGGCUUAACCGAGGAAUUGCAUCGGAAACUGUUUUCUUGAGUGCAGAAAAGGAGAGUAGAACUCCA
rnacentral:rRNA from 1 species